CAGGACGAACGCUGGCGGCGUGCCUAAUACAUGCAAGUCGAGCGGACAGAUGGGAGCUUGCUCCCUGAUGUUAGCGGCGGACGGGUGAGUAACACGUGGGUAACCUGCCUGUAAGACUGGGAUAACUCCGGGAAACCGGGGCUAAUACCGGAUGCUUGUUUGAACCGCAUGGUUCAAACAUAAAAGGUGGCUUCGGCUACCACUUACAGAUGGACCCGCGGCGCAUUAGCUAGUUGGUGAGGUAAUGGCUCACCAAGGCGACGAUGCGUAGCCGACCUGAGAGGGUGAUCGGCCACACUGGGACUGAGACACGGCCCAGACUCCUACGGGAGGCAGCAGUAGGGAAUCUUCCGCAAUGGACGAAAGUCUGACGGAGCAACGCCGCGUGAGUGAUGAAGGUUUUCGGAUCGUAAAGCUCUGUUGUUAGGGAAGAACAAGUACCGUUCGAAUAGGGCGGUACCUUGACGGUACCUAACCAGAAAGCCACGGCUAACUACGUGCCAGCAGCCGCGGUAAUACGUAGGUGGCAAGCGUUGUCCGGAAUUAUUGGGCGUAAAGGGCUCGCAGGCGGUUUCUUAAGUCUGAUGUGAAAGCCCCCGGCUCAACCGGGGAGGGUCAUUGGAAACUGGGGAACUUGAGUGCAGAAGAGGAGAGUGGAAUUCCACGUGUAGCGGUGAAAUGCGUAGAGAUGUGGAGGAACACCAGUGGCGAAGGCGACUCUCUGGUCUGUAACUGACGCUGAGGAGCGAAAGCGUGGGGAGCGAACAGGAUUAGAUACCCUGGUAGUCCACGCCGUAAACGAUGAGUGCUAAGUGUUAGGGGGUUUCCGCCCCUUAGUGCUGCAGCUAACGCAUUAAGCACUCCGCCUGGGGAGUACGGUCGCAAGACUGAAACUCAAAGGAAUUGACGGGGGCCCGCACAAGCGGUGGAGCAUGUGGUUUAAUUCGAAGCAACGCGAAGAACCUUACCAGGUCUUGACAUCCUCUGACAAUCCUAGAGAUAGGACGUCCCCUUCGGGGGCAGAGUGACAGGUGGUGCAUGGUUGUCGUCAGCUCGUGUCGUGAGAUGUUGGGUUAAGUCCCGCAACGAGCGCAACCCUUGAUCUUAGUUGCCAGCAUUCAGUUGGGCACUCUAAGGUGACUGCCGGUGACAAACCGGAGGAAGGUGGGGAUGACGUCAAAUCAUCAUGCCCCUUAUGACCUGGGCUACACACGUGCUACAAUGGACAGAACAAAGGGCAGCGAAACCGCGAGGUUAAGCCAAUCCCACAAAUCUGUUCUCAGUUCGGAUCGCAGUCUGCAACUCGACUGCGUGAAGCUGGAAUCGCUAGUAAUCGCGGAUCAGCAUGCCGCGGUGAAUACG
rnacentral:rRNA from 1 species